rnacentral:tRNA from 1 species
CCGAGGAUCGAACUCGGGGCCUUU